rnacentral:piRNA from 1 species
UGGCCUUUGCUGUAAAGGGAUCGGGUGG